rnacentral:rRNA from 1 species
CCGAACCAGUACACGUUGAAAAGUGUUUGGAUGACCUGUGGGUAGGGGUGAAAGGCCAAUCAAACUCGGAAAUAGCUCGUACUCCCCGAAAUGCAUUUAGGUGCAGCGUUGAGAUGAGUUUUAUAGAGGUAGAGCUACUGAUUGGAUGCGGGGGCUUCACCGCCUACCAAUUCCUGACAAACUCCGAAUGCUAUAAAAU